GAAUAUUGGACAAUGGGUGAGAGCCUGAUCCAGCCAUGCCGCGUGCGGGAAGAAGGCGUUAUGCGUUGUAAACUGCUUUAGCCAGGGGAUAAAAAGACUCUGCGGAGUUAAUUGAAGGUACCUGGAUAAUAAGCCACGGCUACCUACGUGCCAGCAGCCGCGGUAAUACGUAGGUGGCAAGCGUUGUCCGGAUUUAUUGGGUUUAAAGGGUGCGUAGGCGGCCCUGUAAGUCAGUGCUGAAAUAUCCCGGCUUAACCGGGAGGGUGGCAUUGAUACUGCAGGGCUUGAGUACAGAUGAAGUAGGCGGAAUUGACGGUGUAGCGGUGAAAUGCAUAGAUAUCGUCAAGAACACCGAUAGCGAAGGCAGCUUACUAAGCUGUAACUGACGCUGAGGCACGAAAGUGUGGGGAUCAAACAGG
rnacentral:rRNA from 1 species